AUUGAACGCUGGCGGCAUGCUCUACACAUGCAAGUCGAACGGUAACAGCACUUCGGUGGCUGACGAGUGGCGAACGGGUGAGUAAUACAUCGGAACGUGCCUAGUAGUGGGGGAUAACUACUCGAAAGAGUAGCUAAUACCGCAUGAGAUCUAAGGAUGAAAGCAGGGGACCUUCGGGCCUUGCGCUACUAGAGCGGCUGAUGGCAGAUUAGGUAGUUGGUGGGAUAAAAGCUUACCAAGCCGACGAUCUGUAGCUGGUCUGAGAGGACGACCAGCCACACUGGGACUGAGACACGGCCCAGACUCCUACGGGAGGCAGCAGUGGGGAAUUUUGGACAAUGGGCGCAAGCCUGAUCCAGCAAUGCCGCGUGCAGGAUGAAGGCCUUCGGGUUGUAAACUGCUUUUGUACGGAACGAAAAGCCCUCUUCUAAUACAGGAGGGUCAUGACGGUACCGUAAGAAUAAGCACCGGCUAACUACGUG
rnacentral:rRNA from 1 species